GAGUUUGAUCAUGGCUCAGAUUGAACGCUGGCGGCAUGCCUAACACAUGCAAGUCGAACGGCAGCAGCAGGAACAAUCCUUCGGGUGCGUUCCUGGCUGGCGAGUGGCGGACGGGUGAGUAACACUUAGGAAUCUGCCCAGUAGUGGGGGACAACUCGGGGAAACUCGAGCUAAUACCGCAUACGCCCUACGGGGGAAAGCGGGGGACCUUCGGGCCUCGCGCUAUUGGAUGAGCCUAAGUCCGAUUAGCUUGUUGGUGGGGUAAAGGCCCACCAAGGCGACGAUCGGUAGCUGGUCUGAGAGGACGAUCAGCCACACUGGGACUGAGACACGGCCCAGACUCCUACGGGAGGCAGCAGUGGGGAAUAUUGGACAAUGGGCGCAAGCCUGAUCCAGUAAUGCCGCGUGUGUGAAGAAGGCCUGCGGGUUGUAAAGCACUUUCAGCCGGGAAGAAAAGCGGCGGGUUAAUAACCCGACCGUCUUGACAUCACCGGCAGAAGAAGCACCGGCUAACUCCGUGCCAGCAGCCGCGGUAAUACGGAGG
rnacentral:rRNA from 1 species